AGAGCCGGCGGGAGACUCCAUUUCCCAGCAGGCCCCGCGCGCCGCCGAGCGGCAGUUUCCGGGCAGGCGCAGCUCGCGCUGAGGAGAGGGGGCGUUUACCCGCCCCCAGCCCUGCGCGCGCGGCAGAGCCGGGCCCGGGGACCGACAGCGGGCUACAGAAAAACGUCCAUGUUUUGCUCUGGAUCGUCCCACCCUUCCAGAGGAAAGGCAAUGGCUGCAGCGGAGUUAGCUGAGGGGCCGGUGACCUUCGAGGAGGUGGCUGUGUAUUUCACCGAGUCAGAGUGGGCUCUGCUGGACCCUGCUCAGAGAGCCCUCUACAGAGAUGUCAUGCAGGAGAACUAUGAGAAUCUGACCUUGCUAGGUAAGGAUUCCUGUCCCCUUGGUUAUUGGAAGCUGUGGGUUCUCUAAAGAACCUCUGUAAUAAUAACUCUAUACCAGGGGUCGGCAACCUUUCAGAAGUGGUGUGCCGAGUCUUCAUUUAUUCGCUCUAAUUUAAGGUUUCACAUGCCAGUCAUACAUUAACGUUUUUAGAAGGUCUCUUUCUAUAA